rnacentral:rRNA from 1 species
AAAGAGCGUUAUCCGGAUUCACUGGGCGUAAAGCGCGCGUAGGCGGCGAGACAAGUCAGGUGUGAAAGUCACAGGCUCAACCUGUGAAUGCCGCUGGAAACUGUCUGGCUAGAGUCCGGAAGGGGCCAGUGGAAUUCCUAGUGUAGCGGUGAAAUGCGCAGAUAUCAGGAGGAACACCUGUGGCGAAGGCAGCUCGCUGGGACGGUACUGACGCUGAGGCCCGAAAGCGUGGGGAGCGAACAGGAUUAGAUACCCUGGUAGUCCACGCCGUAAACGAUGGGCACUAGGUGUCGGAGGUCUGGAGUCCUCCUGUGCCGACGCUAACGCAUUAAGUGCCCCGCCUGGGGAGUACGGUCGCAAGGGUAAAACUCAAAGGAAUUGACGG